CCUACGGGUGGCAGCAGUAGGGAAUAUUGCUCAAUGGGGGAAACCCUGAACCAGCCACGUAGCGUGGAGGAUGACGGUCCUAGGAUUUUUAACCUUCUUUUUUAGAGAAAUUAAUUAAGGCACGUAAGGAAUUUGGUCUGUCCAAUAUCGAGCCAGAUGCCGUGGCAACAUGCCGGCUGCCACCGUUAUUCGGAAUCACUGGGCGUAAAGGGCGCGUAGAUGGGUUAGUAAGUCAGUUGUGAAAUUCUAUGGUUCAACCGUAAAAUUGCAUUUGAAACUGUAAGUCUUGAGUAUAGGAGAGGUAGGUGGAAUUCGUGGUGUAGCGGUGAAAUGCGUAGAUAUCAAGAAGAAUUCUGAUUGCGAAGGCAGCCUACUAGAACGCAACUGACACUGAUGCUCGAAAGCGUGGGGAUCAAACAGGAUUAGAUACCCGAGUAGUC
rnacentral:rRNA from 1 species